AUGCUCGCUUCGGCAGCACAGAUACUAAAAUUGGACCCAUAGAGAGGUGAGCAUGGCCCCUGUGCAAGGAUGACAUGCAAAUUUGUGAAGCAUUCCAUGAAAAA
rnacentral:snRNA from 1 species